rnacentral:tRNA from 1 species
CGGAUGUAGCCAAGUGGAUCAAGGCAGUGGAUUUGUGAU